AUUGAACGCUGGCGGCAUGCUUUACACAUGCAAGUCGAACGGCAGCGCGGGGGCAACCCUGGCGGCGAGUGGCGAACGGGUGAGUAAUGUAUCGGAACGUAUCCUGUAAUGGGGGAUAACCAGUCGAAAAGAUUGGGUAAUACCGCAUACGCACGAGAGUGGAAAGUAGGGGAUCGCAAGACCUUACGUUAUAGGAGCGGCCGAUAUCUGAUUAGCUAGUUGGUGGGGUAAAGGCCUACCAAGGCGACGAUCAGUAGCUGGUCUGAGAGGAUGUACGGCCACACUGGGACUGAGAUACGGCCCAGACUCCUACGGGAGGCAGCAGUUGGGAAUCUUAGGCAAUGGACGAAAGUCUGACCUAGCGACGCCGCGUGAGGGAAGAAGGCCUUCGGGUUGUAAACCUCUGUCAUGGGGGAAGAAGUAAGUGACGGUACCCCAAGAGGAAGCCCCUGCUAACUACGUG
rnacentral:rRNA from 1 species